UCUUAAAUGAAGACCUGUAUGAAUGGCUCGACGAAGGCUGAACUGUCUCCUUUUUCAAGUCAAUGAAAUUGAUCUCCCCGUGCAAAAGCGGGGAUGCGCCCAUAAGACGAGAAGACCCUAUGGAGCUUUAGAUGUUAAAACAAGCAUUAUUGCUACCCCCAAAUAAAGGGGUACCACUAGCCCCUGUCCAGACAUCUUCGGUUGGGGUGACCAUGGGGAACAAGAAACCCCCACGUCUCUGUAUUGGAGUCUCCUGAAACUAACAAACUCCCUCAAACAAGAACCACCACUCUAGUUAACAGAAUUUCUGACCACCGAUCCGGCAACGCCGAUUAACGAACCAAGUUACCCUAGGGAUAACAGCGCAAUCCCCUUUCAGAGCCCAUAUCGAAAAGGGGGCUUACGACCUCGAUGUUGGAUCAGGACAU
rnacentral:rRNA from 1 species